rnacentral:rRNA from 1 species
GUGUCAGCAGCCGCGGUAAGACGAACCGUGCGAACGUUAUUCGGAAUCACUGGGCUUAAAGGGCGCGUAGGCGGGCCCGCGAGUCAGGGGUGAAAUCCCACGGCCCAACCGUGGAAGUGCCUUUGAUACUGCGGGCCUCGAGGAGGGUAGGGGCGUGCGGAACUCAGGGUGGAGCGGUGAAAUGCGUAGAUAUCCUGAGGAACACCGGUGGCGAAAGCGGCGCGCUGGACCCCUUCUGACGCUGAGGCGCGAAAGCCAGGGGAGCAAACGGGAUUAGAAACCCUAGUAGUCC